GGGCUUCCUUCUGUAGUGCUUUUACUAGAAUAAGAAAGAAACAGUGAAGAUUAGCAUGGUGCCUACACAAAGAGAAGAAGCAAAUUUAUGAAUCAUACUUUU
ensembl:snRNA U6 U6 spliceosomal RNA